GACGGGGGGGGCAAGUGUUCUUCGGAAUGACUGGGCGUAAAGGGCACGUAGGCGGUGAAUCGGGUUGAAAGUGAAAGUCGCCAAAGAGUGGCGGAAUGCUCUCGAAACCAAUUCACUUGAGUGAGACAGAGGAGAGUGGAAUUUCGUGUGUAGGGGUGAAAUCCGUAAAUAUACGAAGGAACGCCAAAAGCGAAGGCAGCUCUCUGGGUCCCUACCGACGCUGGGGAGCGAAAGCGUGGGGAGCGAACAGG
rnacentral:rRNA from 1 species